rnacentral:rRNA from 1 species
UCUAUACUAUAGAGUUUGAUCAUGGCUCAGGACGAACGCUGGCGGCGUGCUUAACACAUGCAAGUCGAACGGUGAAGCCUUCGGGUGGAUCAGUGGCGAACGGGUGAGUAACACGUGGGCAAUCUGCCCUGCAUUCUGGGACAAGCCCUGGAAACGGGGUCUAAUACCGGAUACGACCUGUCCCCGCAUGGGGGUGGGUGGAAAGCUUCGGCGAUGCAGGAUGAGCCCGCGGUCUAUCAGCUUGUUGGUGGGGUGAUGGCCUACCAAGGCGACGACGGGUAGCCGGCCUGAGAGGGCGACCGGCCACACUGGGACUGAGACACGGCCCAGACUCCUACGGGAGGCAGCAGUGGGGAAUAUUGCACAAUGGGCGAAAGCCUGAUGCAGCGACGCCGCGUGAGGGAUGACGGCCUUCGGUUGUAACCUCUUCAGCAGGGAAGAAGCGAAAGUGACGGUACCUGCAGAAGAAGCACCGGCUAACUACGUGCCAGCAGCCGCGGUAAU